GUUUCCGUUUCGUUUUCAACCCUAGUAAACAGCAGCUGCUUCUCUGCCGUUGUAAGUGUCCAUCCUUUAUCAUAACCUCUGUGGUUUGGUCUAGGAUGGGAUACCAUUUGCUCCGGCUUGAUUCAGCUGUGUGCGUGAUUUUAAACGGGUCUCUGAGGGAU